rnacentral:rRNA from 1 species
CUCGAUGAGUAGGGCGGGACACGUGGUAUCCUGUCUGAAUAUGGGGGGACCAUCCUCCAAGGCUAAAUACUCCUGACUGACCGAUAGUGAACCAGUACCGUGAGGGAAAGGCGAAAAGAACCCCGGCGAGGGGAGUGAAAAAGAACCUGAAACCGUGUACGUACAAGCAGUGGGAGCACAGGUUUACCUGUGUGACUGCGUACCUUUUGUAUAAUGGGUCAGCGACUUAUAUUCUGUAGCAAGGUUAACCGAAUAGGGGAGCCGGAGGGAAACCGAGUCUUAAUUGGGCGUUAAGUUGCAGGGUAUAGACCCGAAACCCGGUGAUCUAGCCAUGGGCAGGUUGAAGGUUGGGUAACACUAACUGGAGGACCGAACCGACUAAUGUUGAAAAAUUAGCGGAUGACCUGUGGCUGGGGGUGAAAGGCCAAUCAAACCGGGAGAUAGCUGGUUCUCCCCGAAAGCUAUUUAGGUAGCGCCUCGUGAAUUCAUCUCCGGGGGUAGAGCACUGUUUCGGCUAGGGGGCCAUCCCGGCUUACCAACCCGAUGCAAACUGCGAAUACCGGAGAAUGUUAUCACGGGAGACACACGGCGGGUGCUAACGUCCGUCGUGAAGAGGGAAACAACCCAGACCGCCAGCUAAGGUCCCAAAGUCAUGGUUAAGUGGGAAACGAUGUGGGAAGGCCCAGACAGCCAGGAUGUUGGCUUAGAAGCAGCCAUCAUUUAAAGAAAGCGUAAUAGCUCACUGGUCGAGUCGGCCUGCGCGGAAGAUGUAACGGGGCUAAACCAU